AGAUUGAACGCUGGCGGCAUGCCUUACACAUGCAAGUCGAACGGCAGCACGGGAGCAAUCCUGGUGGCGAGUGGCGAACGGGUGAGUAAUACAUCGGAACGUGCCCAAUCGUGGGGGAUAACGCAGCGAAAGCUGUGCUAAUACCGCAUAAGAUCUACGGAUGAAAGCGAGGGGAUCGACAACGUACCUUGCGACGAAUGGGAGGCCGGCGAGUGGCAGUAGUUUAGGUAGUUGGUGAAGGGUAAAGCUACACCGAAGUCCUUACGAUCGUGUAGCUGGUC
rnacentral:rRNA from 1 species